rnacentral:rRNA from 1 species
UACGGAGGAUGCGAGCGUUAUCCGGAUUCAUUGGGUUUAAAGGGUGCGUAGGCGGACUAAUAAGUCAGUGGUGAAAUUCUGCAGCUUAACUGUAGACGUGCCAUUGAUACUGUUAGACUUGAGUGUGGUCAAGGUAGGCGGAAUGUGUAAUGUAGCGGUGAAAUGCUUAGAUAUUACACAGAACACCGAUUGCGAAGGCAGCUUGCUGGGCCAUUACUGACGCUGAUGCACGAAAGCGUGGGGAG